ensembl:lncRNA
GGCAGCUUCAGUCCAGUGGUGAGGACUUGAGUGGCUAUAAAUACUGUAAUACUUUUUCACCUGUGAAAGCAGCUCUUCCAAAGACAAAGAAGAAAGCACGGCAGCGCUUCCUUCUGUACGGUUGGUGGUCUUGUUACAGGCAGAAGGGCCCACUCAGCAUCUCCAGUGUUAGAUAUUUCCUGCUUAUAAACUAACAUCUGGGAAAGAUUGGCAGUGAAUGCACGGAGAGCUCCGAGUGUCACAGGAUGAAGCUCACAUUCAUCUGAGAUUUGUAUUGCAGUGUGCUGUGUGGUGGGGCUUCCCUGGUGGCUCAGGAGUAAAGAAUAUGCCUGCGAAGCAGAAGACGCAG